AUUUAUAUAGUUUAAUUAAAUAAAACAUUACAUUUUCAUUGUAAAAAUAAAUUAAAAAAUUUUAUAAAUA
rnacentral:tRNA from 2 species